GCGCGCGCGCAGGGGUGAACGAUUAUUGAUUGGGGACGAGCGCGCGUCCGACGAGUGAAGCGCGUGAGCAGAAAUCCUCAUCUUCAUUAUCAUCUUCCUCGUCUGCCACUGCGAGUCCAAGCCCAUGUCAUUUCCCUCUGACCUUUACUUGGGCACCCGCUUAGCCAUCUAUCCAAGACCUCCGCGUGGUGGCUAGGGGAGGCGUCCACGUAAAGUUCACUUUCUCAAGUCCCCGUGCACCCUGCCUAUCUCGUACGUAAGCUCAGGAAGCAACUGCAGACACCUUUCCUUCUCCCCGGCAGCUGUGGCGGUUCUCCCAUCCCAGGCUCCCCAACAGCUCUGGCAGGCUCCCCGGCAGUUGCUGCCGCCACUUCUCCUGCCUCCU